CCUACGGGUGGCAGCAGUGAGGAAUAUUGGUCAAUGGACGAGAGUCUGAACCAGCCAAGUAGCGUGAAGGAUGACUGCCCUAUGGGUUGUAAACUUCUUUUAUAUGGGAAUAAAAUGUUCCACGUGUGGGAUUUUGUAUGUACCAUAUGAAUAAGGAUCGGCUAACUCCGUGCCAGCAGCCGCGGUAAUACGGAGGAUCCGAGCGUUAUCCGGAUUUAUUGGGUUUAAAGGGAGCGUAGGUGGAUUGUUAAGUCAGUUGUGAAAGUUUGCGGCUCAACCGUAAAAUUGCAGUUGAAACUGGCAGUCUUGCGUACAGUAGAGGUGGGCGGAAUUCGUGGUGUAGCGGUGAAAUGCUUAGAUAUCACGAAGAACUCCGAUUGCGAAGGCAGUUCACUGGACUGCAACUGACACUGAGGCUCGAAAGUGUGGGUAUCAAACAGGAUUAGAUACCCUAGUAGUC
rnacentral:rRNA from 1 species